UACGUAGGGUGCAAGCGUUAAUCGGAAUUACUGGGCGUAAAGCGUGCGCAGGCGGUUUUGGAAGGCUGACGUGAAAUCCCCGGGCUCAACCUGGGAAUUGCGUUGGAGACUGCAAGGCUGGAGUCUGGCAGAGGGGGGUAGAAUUCCACGUGUAGCAGUGAAAUGCGUAGAGAUGUGGAGGAACACCGAUGGCGAAGGCAGCCCCCUGGGUCAAGACUGACGCUCAUGCACGAAAGCGUGGGGAGCAAACAGG
rnacentral:rRNA from 1 species